CAAUCAUAUGCUUGUCUCAAAGAUUAAGCCAUGCAUGUCUAAGUAUAAGCAAUUAUACAGCGAAACUGCGAAUGGCUCAUUAUAUCAGUUAUAAUCUACUUGAUCGAUUCUGUUAUUUGGAUAACUGUAGGAAUUCUAGAGCUAAUACAUGCAAAAGGACCGGAGCGGGGGUAACCUUGUGAAGGUCGCGUUUACUAGUCCAGAAACCAAGAUGGGGUGCAAACCUCAUUCAACAGAUGAUUCAUAGUAAGCUUGACGCGAAUCGAGGCUUUUGUCU
rnacentral:rRNA from 1 species